CUCUGCAGAGGCUGCAGCAACAGGAAGUGUGUGUGUGUGUGGGACAGGAAACGCAUGCCCAUAAAAGAUAACUGAGUGUGUAAAGAGAGAACACAGAGAGACAGAUGAGUUAAACUCGAGGCAGAUGAAGCAAAUGCAGGUUUUAAGAUAAAAAUGAAUAUGAUACUAAUUACAUGCUUUAGUGUGCCAAUACAGGUGGACUUCUCUCAACAUUGGAACCUUGAGUGCAGCGGCAUAACAAUAGAUUAACAGAAUUGGGAGAAAAUAAGCCAGUCUUUGGCUCGAAAUUGUGCGGCUUGAUCUCUCACUUUGUCCCUGAAACUGAGAAGAAACUCAAAGGACAGUCAAGAACAGUCAAUUUCCUGAUGAAGACCGACAGAACAUCGUGGACUUGAAGAAUUAACUGAAGCUAAAAGCAGCGCAAGCGAAAGCAGUAACACUGACAACGACUGAUGAGUCCAGCAGUAUGAAAGAGGGAACAUGCAUGCUGGUGAAGAACAGUGUGAUGUGUCUGCUUGAAGGCACUGACUCUCAUAUUCGCCAUGCUUGGAGCAAUCUUGGAAGAGAAGACUGAAAGGAUGAAUGGAGAAGAAAACAGAACAAAUGAAAAUAAGACUGAAGGCACUGAAUGUGAUAUUUUGCCAUGCUGGGACUUAACCUAAAAGAAAGACUGUAAAGAAACAGAGAAGAAACAGACUGUGUUUCUUGGAACUUUGAAGCCCAAACAGGACACUGUGAAUGAAAAAGGACCAGUGAGAGAUGAACCUGGACGAGUUAGACUGCGAGAAUAUAGGAUAUGAUUGGACUAAAAUUGAAGCCGGAACUCAUGAUUGUUUAGGGAUGUCCACCACAGCACAACAAAGAGGUAAACAAUACAAAAGGUAAAAAUAAUGAAAGAAAAUAACUGACAACUAUAUUAAUGAAUAGAAAACACACAUACACAAGUUGUUGCAUGUGAGAUCAUUUUUGAAAUGAAUCAGAAGUGAGAUAGUUUGAAUCUAAAGCUCAGUGAAAAAAUGCAUGAAGUAAAACUGAUUAUAAUUUAAGAUGCAAUGAAGAAACAGCUUACACGUAGUGUACAUUAACAUGAAUACAUAAAAAUGCAAGGAAGAACACGCUUACAUGCAUGGCAUAAUUGGUAUUUCUGACCAGAGAUAGAGAAGUGGGUCGUUUAAGCAAUGAUGAUAAUAAUGAAAAUGUCUUAGUUUUGUUAUUUUCAGGAGUAAAGCAGAACCGGAUCAACUUUCCACGGCCGCAGUCGGAAGGAAAAUUGUAGGUUAACAUCAAUGGAUAAGUUAAGGCAAGUUUCUGGUUGAAUUGUUCACAGAAUCAUGUGUCCAUGAACCUGAAAAGCAAGCCCUAACACCUGGCUGAAGACCAGGAGGGCUGUUAUUUAAGGUGGGAAAUCAAAAAUUUGGGUUAGUAAUUCGGGAAAGAGAAAACUGACUGUUUAACUGGAGAAUUGAGAAGGUGCCUGACAGACUGUGAAGCCAUAUAUGCAAAAAUAACACACACAAACAGAAAAUGCAUUAACCUUACAGAGACAAGCUCAUGAAGAUUAAUGAACAGAUAUUGAAUAAACCUGGCUAAGAACACAAGCAUACGCAAUGAAGAUCAGCUUGCUACUUGUAUGAGUGAUAGAAUGGUGUGAAUGUUUAAUAAAAUAGACUUAAAGCUUGAAGUUGACUCAAAGAAGUUAUAUGACAGGGGAGUGAGUUAUGGAAAUUAACAAAAGAAAAGUUAUUAAAGCAGUUUUAAAAGAGUGACUUAGGAGUGCUCUCAUGCUGAGUGAUCAAAACCAGUGAUUAGUAUAGAAAGAAAAUGAAAAUAAUUCAAUAAUGGGAUAAGGUUUAAACAUGUAUUUCUCUUGUCAAGUUGGCUGUUGAGCUGUGAGUCACUAUGCAAAUUAGCUGGAGUGAGUGAGUGACAAAGACACUUCCUGUGUCUGUGUCUCGGAGGCUUUCAGUUCAAGAGAGCGGUGGCUGUUGUGUUGAGGAUUAUUUGGCGAAAAAUAUAAUGGCCUGGAAGAAAGUGAACUAACAGCGCUGACAAAUUUCCGGAUAAACAAAUAUGAGGUGACUUUUCCAGAUUUCAAUGGGUGGAGGAAAGGCUACCUGUGGGGACCUGAUCAGAUUGAAAGUCCCUGUCUAAAAGAUUGCCGCGAGCCAAUCCAGACAAAACCAUAAAGAACUAUUUUCUAAAAAAGAGAAAACAAAAUAAAACAAAUGAAUGAGCUCAUGUUGCUGAGAGUGAAGACUCUGAUUAUUUGCAAGGGAGUCCACACUAUCAGCAAGACCGGAUGUUAAUGCAUGUGAGUGAGUGUGUGACUGGACCAAGGUGGGGAUGAAUAAAAUGUUGACAAACAGGAGGAGUGGAAGACUUAAUUCUGGGGAUGCUGAUGUUUGCUUGGAGGGAAUCUUUGUUUUAUUUACUGGGGUUGGAUUAUGUUAUUACAUUAUAAAAAGCUAAAUGCUAAAAGGGAAACAUUUUUGAUAUAACUCAUGUGACCAUUAACUGAAGAAACACAUGAAUAAUAACUGUUCUGUUUAUUUUUUGUUAUGAGACAGACUGGAUCAUAGAGGGGGAGUUGAAUAUGAAAUGUAAAGUACAGGUUUUGUUUCCAGGAAAUUCCAAGGAUCCUUCGAAGGGAGCAGGAGUUCAAGAAGAUUUGACAUGAUGAUUAAAUUGAUCUUAUUCCUUAAACACAGGUUUUUAGGGCUGGAGCAAAAUACUGGAGAAGAGGAUUGCUGAGCUCCUCUGAGAAAUGAUAUGACUAACCUUUUUUCCCUUGUUAAUUUGUUAAGCUUGGGUGAAGCAUGUUGAGUUUUUUGCCACAUGAGAUGUGUCAAAAAGAGAGGGGUUUAAGAUUUAACUUGUUUAAUUUGAAAUGGGUUUAGGAUGAUUUUAGUGGGGUUUUGUUUGAUAAUUUGGAGAUGGUAAAAUUCUUUAAAUUGUUGAUAAAGUGUUGAUAAGAAGUUGUACACCAAACUUAAAGGGGAACUGUGGGAAUAAUAAUAAUGGUGAAGACUUUAUGAGUAGAAAAUGUUUGAUUUCUUUUUUAUUUCUUUGUUUCUGCUUAGCAACUACUGAGACGGUGAAACAAAAUGUUGUAGAUAAUGGAAACUUGUCUAACUGGCAUUAACAGUAAUUUUUGCAUGUUAUGUAUAUGCCUGAAGCAAAAAGAGGCAUAAAUCCUGAUAAAAAUUUUGAAGCAUGCUUUCCAGCGCAGAUUUAGGCUGACAUGGGGAUGGUGUAUAUUUUACCUGGGGUGUGUUUAAUAAAACUAAAAGCGUUGCUCACACACAUAAAGAGCAUUGAGAUUAAGUAAAGUUAAUAAAAAGGAUAAAGCCCAGAACAUGAUAUUGUGAACCAAGUUUGAAUAAUUAAAGGAACAUUGGAUGAACACAGUAGAUUAGUGAGGUGUAGCAGAGAGAGGCUUUUUGUUUUCUAUCUUUUACAGGAGAAGAUUUCAGGACCACAGCGACCACAGGGGGACGAGAAUCCUGGAAGCCCCAGACCGAAUGGAACCAACCAGAGAAAGGAGAAAAACAGAGCACAAAGACACCUAGUUGUUUAUAUUACAAAGAAGAUCAAAAGCUUGUUAGACAUAGGUUAUAAUGGAAGCAUAAAAGGGAUGAGAGGAAAUUUACAUAACAUAGAAAUCCUGCAACAA
ensembl:lncRNA